rnacentral:rRNA from 1 species
AUUGAACGCUGGCGGCAUGCUUUACACAUGCAAGUCGAACGGUAACAGGCCUUCGGGUGCUGACGAGUGGCGAACGGGUGAGUAAUGCAUCGGAACGUGCCCAGAGGUGGGGGAUAACGCAGCGAAAGCUGUGCUAAUACCGCAUGUGAUCUGAGGAUGAAAGCGGGGGACCAAGCAGCAAUGUUUGGCCUCGCGCCUCUGGAGCGGCCGAUGUCAGAUUAGGUAGUUGGUGGGGUAAAGGCCUACCAAGCCGACGAUCUGUAGCUGGUCUGAGAGGACGACCAGCCACACUGGGACUGAGACACGGCCCAGACUCCUACGGGAGGCAGCAGUGGGGAAUUUUGGACAAUGGGCGCAAGCCUGAUCCAGCAAUGCCGCGGGCGGGAAGAAGGCUUUCGGGUUGUAAACCGCUUUUGUACGGAACGAAAAGUCUCUGGCUAAUACCUGGGGCUGAUGACGGUACCGUAAGAAUAAGCACCGGCUAACUACGUG